GUGAAGAUGAUCUGCUUGCAACAUCUGUCAUGCCAUUGGUCACCUGAUGUGGUUGGCUAGGUAGGUGUCUUCUUUUCCCAUCACAUGUGCAUCCAGAGCUGAAUAUUCAGUCAUGAAAGAUGGCGUUCCCUAAUGGAGGACCAUUCUUUAGUCAAGGGUACACUAGAAGCUUCAUUUAUCUUCUAGAAUCUCUAAACAAUCCAUCAAGAAAUGCCAAGCUCCUGUGUCUCCCCCUAAGCAACACUGCUAUGAAACCUAUCCAAGCUGCUCCAACAAAUAAUGUCAAGAAAAGCACACAACCUACUGAUUGUAACAGUAGUUU
ensembl:misc_RNA 7SK 7SK RNA